UCUGUCGGUGAUGAUGAAUUAUCCCCCUUGGUUGAGUUUAAUUACCAUGAAAAAACUCACAUGCACUACCAUCUGAGACAAG